rnacentral:rRNA from 1 species
GGGAUUCUGAUUGCUUAUUGCACCACAUGUGUUUUUCUUUGAAACAAACUUGCUUUGGCGGUGGGCCCAGCCUGCCGCCAGAGGUCUAAACUUACAACCAAUUUUUUAUCAACUUGUCACACCAGAUUAUUACUAAUAGUCAAAACUUUCAACAACGGAUCUCUUGGUUCUCGCAUCGAUGAAGAACGCAGCGAAAUGCGAUACGUAAUAUGAAUUGCAGAUAUUCGUGAAUCAUCGAAUCUUUGAACGCACAUUGCGCCCUCUGGUAUUCCGGAGGGCAUGCCUGUUUGAGCGUCGUUUCUCCCUCAAACCGCUGGGUUUGGUGUUGAGCAAUACGACUUGGGUUUGCUUGAAAGACGGUAGUGGUAAGGCGGGAUCGCUUUGACAAUGGCUUAGGUCUAACCAAAAACAUUGCUUGCGGCGGUAACGUCCACCACGUAUAUCUUCAAACUUUGACCUCAAAUCAGGUAGGACUACCCGCUGAACUUAAGCAUAUCAAAAGCCGGAGGAA